rnacentral:lncRNA from 1 species
AUCGCCUCGGUCCUUCAGGCAAUAACAUGAACGCACGAACGCACCACCAUCCUUCUCCCUCGAGCCAUGGAACCAAACGAUAUAAAUCCAGAUUGGUGCUACAAAUGCCACAUAACAGACCCCAACAGUUGACCAUUGUAUCAUGGCUGUGAAGUUGUGCCCAAAUGAGAUGGUUGGUCCUGUGGUAUAUACCAAGGACUUUUAUCCCAGAGUUGAUCUAUUGCCAAUAUAGGAUAACUUGAGCCUGGCAGAAAGACCUACAAAAACCCCUGCUUGCUGGCCAAGAAAUUGCACAAGACUUUUCUACAAGAAUGUAGCUGAAGUGUAUGAAGUAGAAGUUCUGAGUAACUAGAAUGAAGCCAUGAUAUUGAAGAUGGAAAGAAUCCUGGACAUGGGCAGAUGACUGCUGCUAUAACAUGAGGUGGUAGCAUCUUCAAGACCUUCAGUUUUAAGCUACAGUUACUCUACUUGGUGGAAGGCAAGUAUUUUCUAUUGAAAGAUUCAUGCAAUUAUUGCACACCAGCUCCAGCUUGUCCCUUUGGCAAGCUAGGCGUUUCUCGUGCAUAGAUAAAAUGUGUAGUAUUGUGUGGAUUUGUUUCAAUAACUUUAUGCACACAAAAUAUCACGACAAUAGCUUUGGGGAAAAUACAAGUUGUAAAUGGAAGUGUUACAAAAGACUAAACCUCUUUUACUCUGCAGGUACUUGGAACUGUCACAUGGCUGGAGUCUACUUAGCAAAACUGAAAAUAAAUAAAUAACAUAAA